rnacentral:misc_RNA from 1 species
GAACGCAAAUUGCACUCUCUGGCAACCCGGGGAGUAUGCCUGUUUGAGGGUCAGUGUUAAUAAAAAUCGGGUGCGUUGCAAUUUUUGUGACGUUUCCGGAGUUUGAGUUUAUCUUAAUUAACUUCGGUUUUUUUUAAGAGGCUUAAAAUUGACCUUUUUUUGUGCAUUUUAGACGUACAUAAUUUUUUUUUUAUUCGUCCAUCCUAAUGCCAAAAUCUAUUAGAUGCGACCAUAUCUGGUGGUUUCGUGUCUAUAAAUUUUUCAUGAUUUGACCUCAAAUCAGGUAGGAACACCCGCUGAACUUAAG